GGUCCCUUCCAACCCUGAUAUUGUAUGAUUUUAUUAUCUCGGGCCCAGACACAACCAUAGGAACCUCCGUCUUUCAGUGUCCAGUUAUUCCCCCUGGGCGCUGCAACUUUAUAUGAGUUUAUCAAUUUAACAAAGAAAUUGAUAUGUACUAGGCUUGUUAUUCCAAAAUGAGUCUCUGACACGCUUCAAACCAAACGCACUG